AUGUCUCCAGAGAAGCAGUCAGGACUAUACAGGACCUUAGGUUUGGGUUUUCAUCCUAAAAACAAUGGGUCUUUAGACUUUCAAAGGCUCUAUGAUCUGCUGUCAAAGGACAGCAAGGGGAAUUUAGCUGGAGAAAAAAGGCUGGGAAGCUGGGAAUCUUUUGGUUGUCAUGAGAAGGUGGAGCUCAGUGCACUCAGGUAUACGUUCACCAUGGUGGCCAACAUCACCGUCUACUCCGCCGCCUGGCUCCUGCUGCGCCUGCAGGGCUCGUCGCGGGCGGGGCCCACCUAGGACAUCAGAGUCAGCGACCAGCUGGAGUGCCAGGACGUGCCCAUGUUCCGGAACCUGUCCUUGCUGGUGGUGGGUGUCGUGACGUGAUCUCGCUGCUGUUCCACCCGGGCACCCAGGAGAGGCGCUGGCCGCGGGCAGAGGAGCCUGGUCGGCACAGCCCCCUGGUGGCACCCGCCGUCGCCCAGCCCCUGCUGCUCUGGAAGCACUGGACUUCUGGGAGCCAGUUUUCUACCAGGUGGGCAUCGCGAACCUGUCUCAGACCUACAUGCGUGUACCUCACCUAUUCUCCCAAUCUGCCCAAGCAGCUCAUCGCGACCACUCCCGUGGUGAUGUACCUCAGCGGCUUCUCCUUCCUCAUGAAGCCCAUCAACGAGUGCAUCGGGAGGAACAUGACCUACUUCUCGGGCCUCCUGGUGCUCCUGGCGUUUGCCGCGCCGGUGGCGCUCGCGGAGGAGCUGGGCGUGGCCGUGUACGCAGCGGCUGUGCUGCGGGACUCCGGCUGUGCCACCAUCGUUGUCACCUCGCUGGCCAUGACGGGCGACCUCAUGAGCUUCUCAGAUAAAGUGGCCAACGGGCUGGUAGUCAUGGUCAUCCACAGCCUGCUCCUGCCCCUCGGAGUCUGCCGCACGGCCUGCGUGAGCUUCUACCACUGGGCCACGGUGGCCGUGACGGAGGCGUGGGCGUGGCCACUGCCCUGCGUCUCUACAGCCUCCUGCUGUGGCCCAUCCUCCUGUGACGCUGGACCCUGACGCCUGGCCCUGACUCCUGACGGCCUCCUGCACCUGUGCAAGGGAACCGCGGGGACACACAAGGAUGGCCCCCGGGGAGAAGCCCCCACUGCCCCUCACUCUUCUCUGAACCCCCACUCUCCAUCCUGGCCAGCUCCCAGGGAUGGGGAUCGGGGUGAGGGCGGCGGGGAUGCCUGCCAGGGCCUUCUGAUUCCAGGGGUUCACAGGGACCCAUGGGCUUUGAGGGUGCCCCAUUCUCAACUCUAACCCAUCCCAGCCCUCUGGAGGAUUUGGGGUGCUCAUCUCGGCAGGGAGCAGGAAGUAGGAAUUCCAGAGGUGUCUAGGGGAACACUAACCCUGAGCUCAGCCCAUUUCACCCCUCACCUCUGGCGUGGGGGUCUCCAGAUGCUGUCAGGGCCCCCUCCGGAUGACUGGAGGCUGCAGGAGACCCAGCUGCAGAGCCGUGGGCUGGACCUGGACCCUGCCAUAGUUGGCAGCAGUGCUGCCCAGUAGGCUUGGUGGACUGUGCUAGCAGCAAAUAAAGAGUUGAUGGCAAAACAAACAACAAAAGGAAUCUUUUGGUUGUAAGUAACAGAAAGAUCCAUUUGAAUGGGCUUUAGCAGAAAAGUUACUUUUUUGGCUCAGGUAAUUAGCAAGUAAUUAGGACCUGGUUUCCCUUUCUCCAUCUCUCAGACGACCUUUGGGCUGACUUAAUUCUCAGAUAAUCUUUUCAUGGUCAUAAGAUGGCUGCAGAAAUGCCAGCCUCAUAGUCCCUCAAGGUCAUGUCCAACAGAGAGAAAAACUUAUCUGUUGGUGGCAUUCAUAAAAGUCUCGAGAUGUCCUCUAAUUGUACUGGUUUAGGUCAUGUGCCCACUUCAGGAACACAUAUGCAGGUGGUCUUGGCCUGGGCAUGACUCUACUCCUAAUGCAGAGGGUCAGAGUGCCACUGAGAUCUCAGACUGCAAAUGGAGAAAGGGUGAAUCCCAGAAGGAAAUAGGAGGCUGAUGCUCUAAGAAUGUGUAGACAAAACAAAAACAAACAAACAAAAACUACGGGUGCAAUGAUUAACCCUGCUAUUAUAAGCAAACCCGGGAUUCUUUUCAAAGAACAAAACCGCUAACCAGCUUAGAUAGCUGUCUUUGAAAUUAGCACUUGUCUGGAUAUCCACAAGGAUUAGGGUUUCUGCUUAGCCUUAGGAACUUGGAAAUCUAAAAGAGCAAAUGGGGACAGUCCCACUUAUUAAAAUAAGUCAUGGUUAGAGAUACUAUGAGCUUGAGUAAGCGUCUGGGAAAUUUUAUGUAACUUAAGGGAAGAAAAUAAGAAAGUAAUGUAUGUACUUUUUCUUACAAAUGAUUUACUUCUUGUUGCUUUAGAGAAGAAAGCAUUUGAGUGAAGUGAUAAUAUACAUUCAGUGCAAUCAUGUGAUAGAAGUGGAAAUAUAAUUUAGGCUAAGGUGAUUCAUAAGAAAGAGAUCCUUGGGGGGUUGCCUGGAUAAAUGUUCUAAUAUUAGGUAUAGAUAGAAAAAAAUAUUUUGAACAAUUGCUGCUUUUAUUAGGAAAAAUGCAUCAGCCAUUUGUGAUCACUUUAUUUCUUAGCAUUUUGGGUGGGAUAUAUGAGACACUUAUCAAAAGGAAGUUAGCUUUUGACAAUGUAAAUUAAAACCAAGCUUAUUUGAAGUCAC